rnacentral:lncRNA from 1 species
AAAAUUAACAAGAUGAGAUAUAUGAGCUCAUACAGCCUAUCUUAAUGGGAAAAUUUGCUGUUAAAAGAAGUGUUUGUCACCGUAAAAAAACUUGGCGUCAAAUUAUCCGAUAGUGCCUGGUAUCGCGAAAUCCCCAUAACUAUUGGGAUCGUAAAAGAUACGGAAGUCUGUACGAUACUGACCGCUAACCUUCGCUAGUCAGAGAGACACGAAAAGAAGAAAUAUUUAAUAGCAAUACAAGUAUGUAUUGAGGUGCCAGGAUAAAAUUUACAUAACUUUAUGACCAUUACAAAAUUGUAUUUUUCAGCAAAAAAUGUGGUGGUUCCAACCCUUACAUCGAUAACAAAUUGAGGUCAUUAUUAUGUAAAGUACACGAGGACAGACUUAUAUACAAAAGUAUACCAUCGUCAUCGUCAUCAUCGUCGGAGUCAUCGUCAUCAUCGUCGGAGUCAUCAUCGUCAUCGUCAUCAGAAGAGGUCAAUAGAGAUAAAGAGAAAGGUAAUGGGUGCAAAGAUUCAUCAUCAUCGUCGUCAUCAUCAGAGGGCAGUGACAGUAACGAGGUACGAAGAUAAACUCAAAUUAAGAAUAUGAAACAUCAAUUUUGCUUUUUAAAGUGAUUCUCUAAUAGCACUAAAUUAAAAACUCCGCAUAAAAAAAUACAACAUGACAUAAAGGACAUUGAAACACAUGUGGUUCAGGGGACAUGGUUAAAUUUUGUAA